CCUUGGUUAGCUCAGCUGGUAGAGCGCUCCACCAGUAAUGGAGAGGUCCCGGGUUCGACAACCGGACCAGGCG
rnacentral:tRNA from 2 species